AUACGUAGGGGGCGAGCGUUGUCCGGAAUUACUGGGCGUAAAGGGUGCGUAGGCGGCCCUUUAAGUCGGAUGUGAAAGCCCGCGGCUUAACCGCGGAAUGGCAUUCGAAACUGGAGGGCUUGAGUGUCGGAGAGGGUAGUGGAAUUCCCAGUGUAGCGGUGAAAUGCGUAGAUAUUGGGAGGAACACCAGUGGCGAAGGCGACUACCUGGACGAUAACUGACGCUGAGGCACGAAAGCUAGGGGAGCAAACAGGAUUAGAUACCCUGGUAGUCCUAGCCGUAAACGAUGGGUACUAGGUGUGGGUGGUUUCGAUACCAUCCGUGCCGUAGUUAACACAAUAAGUACCCCGCCUGGGGAGUACGGCCGCAAGGCUGAA
rnacentral:rRNA from 1 species